rnacentral:lncRNA from 1 species
UUGUCUCAAAAAAAAACAUGACAAAGGAAGAAAUAAUAUAAGUUUCAUAAUAUAUUGUAGCCUAGGGUGUGCAUCAGUUCGUUUGGUCCGGUUUUAUGUAUUAUUGGUUCGGUUUAUCGAUUUUUGGUUUUUAAAUACAUUAAAUCAAUAAGAUAUUUUUUAUCGGUUUUGGUCCUUAACGGUUAGAUUUUCGAUUUAAUCAGUAAGAAAAUACUUAUAAAAAAAUAUGACUUUUCGAAUAAAUUUGAUGCGACAACACAAUAAUGUAACUUUACAAAUGCUCAUAAAAUAGAAACAAUAAUAACAAACAUGAAAAAGAAAA